rnacentral:rRNA from 1 species
GCGGUAUUUUGACCGUGCUAAGGUAGCAUAAUCAAUUGUUUUUUAAUUGAAAACUAGUAUGAACGGUUUAAUUUACUUAAUUAGUUUGUAAUUUUUAAUAGUAAGUUAAAUAUAAAGUAAGAAUUCUUUAAUAAAUUAGGGGACGAUAAGACCCUAAAAGCUUUAUGAUUGGCAUUUAAUUGGUGAUAGCGGUGUUAUUAAUUCACUGGGGCAGUGAGUUUAGGUAUAUUUAAGUAUAAUUAAAAGCUCCUUUAAAUAAAGAUUUCAUGUAUAAGUUACUUUAGGGAUAACAGUGCAAUAUAUUUGGGGAGACCAUAUCUAUAAAUAUGAUUGCAACCUCGAUGUUGAAAUUAAAAUA